rnacentral:sRNA from 1 species
UGAACUGGUAUCUAAUAUAGCAAUGACCAA